rnacentral:rRNA from 1 species
UACGGAGGAUGCAAGCGUUAUCCGGAUGAUUGGGCGUAAAGCGUCCGCAGGUGGCUGUGUAAGUCUGCUGUCAAAGAGCAAAGCUCAACUUUGUAAAGGCAGUGGAAACUACACGGCUAGAGUGCGUUCGGGGCAGAGGGAAUUCCUGGUGUAGCGGUGAAAUGCGUAGAGAUCAGGAAGAACACCGGUGGCGAAGGCGCUCUGCUAGGCCGCAACUGACACUGAGGGACGAAAGCUAGGGGAGCGAAUGGG